GAUAAACGCUGGCGGCGCACAUAAGACAUGCAAGUCGAACGGACUUAACCAUUAGUUUACUAUUGGAGCGGUUAGUGGCGGACUGGUGAGUAACGCGUAAGCAAUCUGCCUAUCAGAGGGGAAUAACGGUGAGAAAUCACUGCUAAUACCGCAUAAGCUGUGAGUAUCGCAUGAUGAAAACGGGAAAGGAGCAAUUCGCUAGUAGAUGGGCUCGCGUCUGAUUAGAUAGUUGGUAGGGUAACGGCCUACCAAGUCUACGAUCAGUAGCCGGACUGAGAGGUUGAACGGCCACAUUGGGACUGAGAUACGGCCCAG
rnacentral:rRNA from 1 species